rnacentral:rRNA from 1 species
UACGUAGGGUGCAAGCGUUGUCCGGAAUUAUUGGGCGUAAAGAGCUCGUAGGCGGUUUGUCGCGUCUGCUGUGAAAACUCGGGGCUUAACCCCGGGCCUGCAGUGGGUACGGGCAGACUAGAGUGCGGUAGGGGAGACUGGAAUUCCUGGUGUAGCGGUGAAAUGCGCAGAUAUCAGGAGGAACACCGGUGGCGAAGGCGACUACCUGGCCUGUUCUUGACGCUGAGGCGCGAAAGCUGGGGGAGCAAACGGG